GGAUGUGAUCAUACCAGUACUAAAGCACCAGUUUCCAUCAGAAUUUGAAGUUAAGCAUGCUUUGGUGGGAGUACUAUUAGGAUAGGUGACCUCUUGGGAAAUUCUCGUGUUGCAUUCU
rnacentral:rRNA from 2 species